ACGUCAGGGGGUUCGCUGCGUAUCACUGACAGCAGCACAAGCAAACCACAAUAACCCAACCGUUUGAACAGGAUGUCCACCAAAGCCACAAAACCCAGAUUCCAGGGCGGGCGUUGAGAGGGGAAACGAGCUGCAGCUCCUGAUCCUGCUUAUCAGGACCGCCAGCAGCAAUGGGCCUGAGGAGAAGACCAGGAUAAAACAGAUGUUUUCACAGAGACGAAGAUGAUUGAGAGUUAAAGACGCCGGGACACUCUCAGGAGGAUGGACAGAGGACACGUGAUCUGGAUCGUUCUGCUUUCUGUUAUCCCAGCAGGCAGGCCGGCUGCAUGGCCGGCGGGGGAUAUCUGUGCCUCGUGUCACGCCCACGCCACGUGCUCAAUCCUGCCGGACGGCUCGGGCCAUGCAUGCAUCUGCAUGUACGGCUUCAUCGGGAACGGGAGGAGCCUCUGCCAAGACAAAGACGAAUGUCAGAUCGGAGCGAGGAAGAUCUGUGGCCCCCACGCCGCCUGCCACAACACCGUGGGCAGCUAUACCUGCACCUGUAUGGGGGGCUUCAGACCCUCUAACCACAGGACCACCUUCACCCCGAACGACGGGACGUACUGCCAGGACAUUGAUGAGUGCGGGAGGCACCCUGCGGUGUGUGGAGAGGGGGCGCGCUGUGUCAACCUGGAGGGGGACUUUGAGUGCCGCUGCCUCCUAGGUUACAGAGCGCACAACGCCUCAGAUCCCUUCCAGCCCCUCAGGGACAAGGGCUCCUGCAAGGUGGUGGACUGUGGCCCCCCUCCCGCCGGAGAGGCAGUGCGGGUGCUGUCCACCAACGGCACCGCCUACGGCAGCGUGGUCCUCAUGGGCUGCAAGGAUGGCUUCCUGUGGAGACGGGGAGACAACUCAUCCACAUGUGGGCCGGACGGAACCUGGAGCCGGCCAGCCCCGCUUUGUCAAGAGCUGAGUUGUGGAACCCCACUAAUCGUCCCUGGAACUAAACGGAUGUGGGACGGUCGCAGCUCAGCGGGCAACAAGGUGCUCUAUAUGUGUUCUGCCAGCUAUUACCCGGAGAGCGGACAGGGCAGCGUUAAUUCAACAUGUUCUGAGACCGGAGAGUGGGGACACGUGCCUUUAAACUGCAGAGCUAGGUGUAGGCUCACUCCAUCGCUGGCCCAUGCGGAGGUGGCCUCGUACAACAGUAGCAUGACCGUGCAUCGCUGCGUGGACGGAUACCGCAGCAGCAGAGGGAGCAGCGUCUCUGUUUGUGGCAAUGCUGGGCAGUGGCAGAAGGCAACACUGAAGUGCAUAGAAAUCCAAUGUGGAGAACCUUUAUCUAAACCGCAUGCAAGGAUGUUGUGGGACAACGGUACCCGCGUGGGCAGCGUGCUGCACUACCAGUGUGAGGAGGGCUACCGCCCCUCCACCAACCGCCACUCCCCCUCCACCAACCGCUCCGUGUGCGGAGUGGACGGACAGUGGGAGGAGUCAGACCUGCGCUGUGAAGAGGUGAGUUGCGGAAUCCCACUAAUCGUCCCUGGAACUAAACGGAUGUGGGACGGUCGCAGCUCAGCGGGCAGCAAGGUGCUCUAUAUGUGUUCUGCCAGCUAUUACCCGGAGAGCGGACAGGGCAGCUUUAAUUCAACAUGUUCUGAGACCGGAGAGUGGGGACACGUGCCUUUAAACUGCAGAGCUAGGUGUAGGCUCACUCCAUCGCUGGCCCAUGCGGAGGUGGCCUGGUACAACAGUAGCGUGACCGUGCAUCGCUGCGUGGACGGAUACCGCAGCAGCAGAGGGAGCAGCGUCUCUGUUUGUGGCAAUGCUGGGCAGUGGCAGAAGGCAACACUGAAGUGCAUAGAAAUCCAAUGUGGAGAACCUUUAUCUAAACCGCAUGCAAGGAUGUUGUGGGACAACGGUACCCGCGUGGGCAGCGUGCUGCACUACCAGUGUGAGGAGGGCUACCGCCCCUCCACCAACCGCCACUCCCCCUCCACCAACCGCUCCGUGUGCGGAGUGGACGGACAGUGGGAGGAGUCAGACCUGCGCUGUGAAGAGCUGAGUUGCGGAAUCCCACUAAUCGUCCCUGGAACUAAACGGAUGUGGGACGGUCGCAGCUCAGCGGGCAACAAGGUGCUCUAUAUGUGUUCUGCCAGCUAUUACCCGGAGAGCGGACAGGGCAGCUUUAAUUCAACAUGUUCUGAGACCGGAGAGUGGGGACACGUGCCUUUAAACUGCAGAGCUAGGUGCGGGCCCGCUCCAUCGCUUGCCAAUGCGGAGGUGGCCUGGUACAACAGUAGCGUGACCGUGCAUCGCUGCGUGGACGGAUACCGCAGCAGCAGAGGGAUCAGCGUCUCUGUGUGUGGCAAUGCUGGGCAGUGGCAGAAGGCAACGCUGAAGUGCACAGAAGUUAAACCAGCUGUGAAUGACCUGCGCGUCUUUAAUGAAAAGUGUCUGCAGUGGAGGGCAGAGAAGAAUGACGUAGACAAGGAGAUUUAUAAGGUGGUGUUCAGAGGCACCAGAGACUAUCAGGGGGCUUUCCGCCAUGAGAAGAGGCAACUCCUCCACUCUUGGGACAAGUGGGUGGAGGUCUGUCUCAGUCUCCUGCCUGCCACCAACUACACCAUCUCCGUCAUUGCGUCAUCCACCAGAUUCACUGCCAACAUCACCACCAGCACCAGCCUACAAGUGCCUCAGGCUCCGCUAGUCCUCUACCGAGAGCUGGACGCUCCCCCCGCCACCUUGAGGCUCAGGCGCUCAGCUCACACUUUAGACGCCAUCAGUGUGUACCAGGUGGUCGUGGUGCCUUUAGACGGGACUGUAGUGUUCGAAUGCAGAUCCCGGGGGAUACCUGGCUCCUCUCAGGGGGUGCCCCCGUCCAGCCAGUACAUCACAGGGCAGUUCCCUCUCGGCCACAUGAACGACACGGAGAUGAUCUUCACCGUCGGGGACGGACGGUUCCACGGCGGCUUCUUUAAUGCGCCACUCAAGAGAGGAACAAACUACUACGUCAUUCUGCGAGUGGUCAGCCAGUGGAAAGAGGCUUUCAACAGCUCCUGUGUUCUCUGGGCGAAAGUAACAGUUUGAUAUGUAUCCAACCCAGGUACAUCAUAUGUCAUGAGAGUGUCCUCGCUGUUGGCUGCUGGCUCUGUUGGAGGUCUCCUGUUGGUCGUCCUGCUUGGAUAUAUUUACAUCUGGUUUUUCAAGAGACGUGAAUCCCGUUUAAACUCUCAAUAAGAUGUCUGUUUUUUGGCAUGAUCAUGUAGCCCUACAUUUCUGACUGUAACCAUUUCAAUGUUGUGAAAAAAAUGGUUAAACAAUUAAAAAGUAAUAAACGAUGUUAUUAGUG